GGGGCCGGACGAUCUGCCGCUCGCAAGAGAGGAAAGUCCGGACAGGACAGGGCACUCCGCUGCGGAAAGCGCAGGUGGGAGCAAUCUCAGGCCAGCCGUAACAGAAAAUGACCGCCGGAUUCGUCCGGCAAGGGUGAAAACGCGGGGCAAGAGCCCACGACCGGCGUCAGCGAUGCCGCCGGGGUACGGCACCGGAGCCUGCAAAACCAAAUAUACCGGCAGAUGAGGGCGGCCCGCCCGAUGCCGGGGGGUAGGUUGCGAAGAUAAAUGGCAGAUUCAAAAACAGAAACCGGCUUACGGCCCGACCCCCUGU
rnacentral:RNase_P_RNA from 1 species